UCUAUGGAGAGUUUGAUCCUGGCUCAGGACGAACGCUGGCGGCGUGCCUAAUACAUGCAAGUCGAGCGGACGAUUCAAAAGCUUGCUUUUGGAUCGUUAGCGGCGGACGGGUGAGUAACACGUGGGCAACCUGCCCUGUAGACGGGGAUAACACCGAGAAAUCGGUGCUAAUACCGGAUAAUACGAAAGACCGCAUGGUCUUUCGUUGAAAGGCGGCGCAAGCUGUCGCUACAGGAUGGGCCCGCGGCGCAUUAGCUAGUUGGUGAGGUAACGGCUCACCAAGGCGACGAUGCGUAGCCGACCUGAGAGGGUGAUCGGCCACACUGGGACUGAGACACGGC
rnacentral:rRNA from 1 species